UACAGAGGGUGCAAGCGUUGUUCGGAGUUACUGGGCGUAAAGGGCGCGUAGGCGGCUAUUCAAGUCAGAUGUGAAAUCCCCGGGCUUAACCCGGGACGUGCAUUUGAAACUGUAUAGCUAGAGUGCAGUAGAGGUUGGUGGAAUUCCUAGUGUAGAGGUGAAAUUCGUAGAGAUUAGGAGGAACACCGGUGGCGAAGGCGGCCAACUGGGCUGCAACUGACGCUGAGGCGCGAAAGCGUGGGUAGCAAACAGG
rnacentral:rRNA from 1 species